UACGUAGGGUGCAAGCGUUACUCGGAAUUACUGGGCGUAAAGCGUGCGCAGGCGGCUUUGCAAGACAGAUGUGAAAUCCCCGGGCUUAACCUGGGAACUGCAUUUGUGACUGCAUGUCUGGAGUGCGGCAGAGGGGGAUGGAAUUCCGCGUGUAGCAGUGAAAUGCGUAGAUAUGCGGAGGAACACCGAUGGCGAAGGCAAUCCCCUGGGCCUGCACUGACGCUCAUGCACGAAAGCGUGGGGAGCAAACAGG
rnacentral:rRNA from 1 species